CCCAGGAGAUUCCUGGAGGGUCCCAGAUUUAAGCAGACUUGGAGUGCCACCUGGUAGGAAGGCCAUACCUUGAUGAAAAAACUGGGAAGGAAGGGCCAAGGGCAUCUGUGGAAUCCCCUGAGGUCUCAGGGGAAAAGGAACAGGGAAUAGGUACCCUUUCUUUGGGAAGAUUUUUACAAAGGAAUAAAGUCACAUGAUUCAGCCAGUGAAGGACAACCGCCUUCAAAACAAAAUCCACAAAAGAAACAGGAAUUAUACCAUAUAAACUGAUUUAAAAAUCGUGGGGCAAACUCAAAGACAUUUUGGUUACAAUCCGGAGUCUUGGGCUGAAAGAGUACAAUAGAAGUUCUUGGAGUGGGCAGGUACGUGAUGUCCACAGGAGGAAAACCCCCUGACAAUGGAAGUCGACAUAAGCUGAGUCUGCCAUUAACUAGGCCAAGGAUAAAGCCAGUUUACAUGCUGUUCUUAAAAGAAGAGGUUGCUAGAGAGGAGGAGAUGGUAUAGCUAAGGAGAAAGUCAAUAUUGUGAGUCAGCCGAGUGGGAUGCUGGACAUACUGGAUGAGCUGACAGGGGUGGGAACGUUUGCACAGCGGUGGUUGGCAGAGACACUAUGGGCCUGAAACUGUGAUAAAAGGAGCUGGAAUGUAGCUUGUUUAGUUGUCAUAGGACAAAGGAGGGAACAUACAGGUUGGGGUGGGGAUUGUGUUACCCACUGAGCCUGGAUUAAAAGAAACCAUUGGGUUGGGAAGGCAUUUCAUUUGCUCCGUGCAAGAGGAUCCAGUUGUUGGGGGUGACAGGUCAAGUGCUGUGCGGAAACCAUUCAGUUGCUGGUGGCCAGCCACAGAAGGCAGAGUGGAAGCACCAGGCAGGUGUCCCUGAAAGACCCCCAGACUGUAUGUUCAUUUCAUAAGGUCCCUUCUUCCCAUCAGAAAGGACUGGAAUAGGUAUCAGCCUCGGAAAACAGGCUGUGUGGAUCUCCACUUUUCGAUGUUUAGAGAAAUGAGUUGGGUAUGAGUUGAGCCCGGAGUGCUUGGAAGGCUGAUGGUGGUGACAUUUGCUGAGUGCUAACUAUUGUGCUAGGUGCCAUGUACACAUGAUCUCAAUGCGUUGUCUGAGACCUGUCUUGUUUUCACUGUUUUAUAGAUGUUGAUACAGGUGGCCAGAGAGAUCGUUUGCCCAAGGUCACACAGUACGAGGUAGAAGUUGGUAUUUUCAUCUAGCCAACCUAUCUGAUUACAAAGGGAUCCCCUCGCAGUACCUGGGCAUUGCUGAAGGAACAAAGAAUAAAGUUGUAGUGCGAUGGCCAUCUCGGCAUGCCCGCGGUCUGAGAAGUGAAAACAGUCCUCGGAGAAGAAGGUGAGGUCAGUGUCCCCUCUCUGCAACCAACGGCAAGGAGGUUAUCAUCCUGGGAAAGGGCUCUGCUACCUGAGCCCCACUCACUCUCCCAGCAGGUGCCCUGGGCAUGUCUCCUUUCAUUCUUUCAACUUUCCUGCCAACUUGCUCAGAUACUGAUGGAAAAACUCCCAGAAUUUAGAAUUUCUUUUUUUCUUUUUUCUUUUUUUUUGAGACGGAGUUUCGCACUGUCAGCCAGGCUGGAGUGCAGUGGCAUAAUCUCAGCUCACUGCAACUUCUGCCUCCCGAGUACCUGGGAUUACAGGUGCCUGCCAUCACGCCCAGCUAACUUUUUGUAUUUUUAGUAGAAACGGGGUUUCACCAUGUUGGCCAGGCUGGUCUCAAACUCCUAACCUCGUGAUUCAACCGCCUUGGCUUCCCAAAGGCUGAGAUUACAGGCAUGAGCCACUGCACCCGGCCGGAAUUUUCUUUUUAAACAGACAAGAAUUGGACCCACCCAUAGUCUCUCCCUUUUCUUUCAGCACCCCUAUCCUAAGAGUUGAAAAGAGUAACAUUUUUAGGAAGCUUUCCAUUCUAUCCCAAUCCAGAAAACAUCAGGGCCAGGCCUGGGAGCUUAGUCACUAUUGAUUUCCUUUCAAAGUACAUCUGAGUUCCAAUCACAGCCCAGCCCCCACAAAAAGGAG
rnacentral:lncRNA from 10 species